AAAUUAAAUUUCAAAAUAUAUUAAAAUAGAAAAUGGUUAUUUUAAAAGAUAAUAAUAUUUCACAGUAUUACUGGACAUGUCCACAGUCAAUCACAAGCCCCCAGUUCACAUCCGAGCAGGUUUUGUGUAAAAUUUAAUGCACACCCUCGAGCUACCUGCUCCUGUGCGUUUGUAGAUGUCUUUAAACUUAUAUCAAAUGCAUAGUUUAAACCUUUUAUUUGUGUGUUCUUUCGUGCUUGCAAAAGAAGGUCAAAGAUCUCCCAACCCUGUGGGGAGCGUCUAUCAUCUCCUCUGGCCGACACCACAGGAAGCUUCUGCUUGACACCAGUAUCCAUCAAGGGCCUCUUGUCAAAAGACACUGGAUUUUUAAUGCUCUACCUUGCCCUUCAGUCUCUGUUGCCUCACUCUCGCUCUCCCCUAAUGAGGAGUCCUUUCCUGUGUGAUUGAAAGGCAGUCGGUGCAAUAAAAUCAGAAAAGAAGCCCUCUACUCCUCUGCCAUUCUUAUCCACCCAUCACCAAAAUCCUGACCUGCAUACAAAGAGCCUGUAAAGCGUAUAAUUGAAAGCAGAGAGUAAAAAAUCAAUAUACAGGAAGCAUUAAAAAUAAUGGGAAGCAGUGAUCCAGAUCCAUAUUUCAUAUCCACAGAUGGGUGUGACUUUUACAUAUGUCACUGGCUCGCUUUAGCAUGCAUUUUACAGUCUUUUUUUAAACAGGAUUGGAGUUUGACUGUGGGCAAGUGCUUUAAUAGACAUUUUAGACUCCGAUAUGGCUUGUUAGGCAAAUAAAAUGCUGGCGUUUCGCCCCGACUGUUUGUAUUUCGAGUAUGAAGCAGUGAUGAUUUGACGAGAUGCCUCAAGAUGAGGACAUGGUAUAAUUUUGCAUCCUGUUGUGUCUUAUUCUAGGAUUCUUAGAUGUGUGUGUGCUUGUUUCUGCUUCAUCAGCAGUAUGUUGUCAGCGGGGAGAAGAUUCAGGAGGGACAUCUCUCCUCCUCCCAUCUCGGGCCUUAUUUUGCAUAGUCAUUUUUGUCAUUAAUUUCUAUUUGGUCAUGACCAUCACAUCUGACAUUAAAAUCCAAACAAUUCUAAAAUGUCUACAUGAUAUAUUAAACUUACUUGUAGGAAAGCGAUUGGAUGCGAUUAAUCGCUAUUAAUCGUUGACAGCACUAAUAUUUUUUAAAUAUUACAGUAUCAAUUUACAAAGUUUGGGGUUAUUAAGUAGGGCCCUAUGAAAUCCCUUUUAUUUUUUCC
ensembl:lncRNA